rnacentral:lncRNA from 1 species
UCUGUUCAAUCUGUAUUAUCUGGGAGACAAGUUUGAGCUGUGUGGAGCCAGGAACCUGAUCAAGGAAGUUGUCUCCAGCUUCAAGAUCAACCAGGAGAACUGGCUUGAUGUACUCAAGGGGGUCAAGAAAUACGAGGAUAAUUACCUGUUCGAAGAUCUCUGUAACAUACUUCAGGAUAAAAUUCAAGACUACCUGAAGGGUGUGACCUCUUCUGAUCAAUAUUUGGAGAGUAUUCAAGAAUCUGAAAUCAGAAAUGGAACAGAUCAGACACAGGAGCUGUUGUUUACAAGCUGGAAGCAUCUGACAUCUGGUUUGUGAUUGUUAGAACUUUGAUUAGUGGAUCAGUGUGUUGCUCUACAUCAUGCAUUACAAAAAAGAAAAAAACAAUUUUAGAUAUUUUCAUAAUAGAGUUAUGAAAGAUAAAACGGUCAGAUGUGCUCUUAUGGGGAUAUCAGUUAAAAAUGCUUACAACAAUAACUUCACAACGACCAUGAACAAUGAACGUGCUCUUGUGUUGGCAUUAAAAAUAUAAAAAGCAUAACCAUCUUUGAUCACUAUCUCAUCUUAAACAUCUCAGGGAGUGUUUCUGAAAUAUAAAGAGUAUAUUGACAAACUAAAUUAAGGUUAUAUUUUAAAAUACAAUAAAGUAAUUAAGUUCUUGCCAAAAACUCUAACUUUAUAAUCCAUAUAUAUCUUUGUAACCAGCUACGGAACAUGAACUGUUUAUUGUCAACUAUGCGAGAACGAAGAAAUACAGAAAAUCUGAUAUUCCUUAUAGGCAGAGAAAAUUAAACUCCCUUGAUAUAACCUUAUCUUAUUUUGUGAUAAAACCCAUGAUGUAUUCAAUUAUAUUCUUAUAGAAUUUUAACCAUAUUAUAAUAUUUAUUAUGAUCUUGAUUUAUCUUGAAUAAAUCUUACUUUACUA